UACGUAGGGGGCGAGCGUUAUCCGGAAUUACUGGGCGUAAAGCGCACGCAGGCGGUUCGCCAAGUUUGGAGUGACAGUUGUCGGCUCAACCGACAAAGGACUUCAAAAACUGGUGAACUUGAGGACGAGAGAGGAACAUGGAACUCCAGGUGUAGGUAGUGAAAUGCGUAGAUAUCUGGAAGAACACCAAUGGCGAAGGCAAUGUUCUGGCUCGUUUCUGACGCUCAGGUGCGAAAGCCAGGGGAGCGAACGGG
rnacentral:rRNA from 1 species